rnacentral:rRNA from 1 species
GACGAACGCUGGCGGCGUGCUUAACACAUGCAAGUCGAACGGCAAGGCCCUGCUUUUGUGGGGUGCUCGAGUGGCGAACGGGUGAGUAACACGUGAGUAACCUGCCCUUGACUUUGGGAUAACUUCAGGAAACUGGGGCUAAUCCCGUAUCGGAGCUCCUGCUGCAUGGUGGGGGUUGGAAAGUUUCGGCGGUUGGGGAUGGACUCGCGGCUUAUCAGCUUGUUGGUGGGGUAGUGGCUUACCAAGGCUUUGACGGGUAGCCGGCCUGAGAGGGUGACCGGCCACAUUGGGACUGAGAUACGGCCCAGACUCCUACGGGGGGCAGCAGUGGGGAAUAUUGCACAAUGGGCGGAAGCCUGAUGCAGCAACGCCGCGUGCGGGAUGACGGCCUUCGGGGUGUAAACCGCUUUCGCCUGUGACGAAGCGUGAGUGACGGUAAUGGGUAAAGAAGCACCGGCUAACUACGUG